AACGAACGCUGGCGGCAUGCCUAACACAUGCAAGUCGAACGAGACCUUCGGGUCUAGUGGCGCACGGGUGCGUAACGCGUGGGAACCUGCCCUUAGGUUCGGAAUAACUCCCCGAAAGGGGUGCUAAUACCGGAUAAUGUCUUCGGACCAAAGAUUUAUCGCCUUUGGAUGGGCCCGCGUGGGAUUAGCUAGUUGGUAGGGUAAAAGCCUACCAAGGCGACGAUCCAUAGCUGGUCUGAGAGGAUGGUCAGCGACACUGGGACUGGGACACGGCCCAGACUCCUACGGGAGGCAGCAGUGGGGAAUAUUGGAAAAUGGGCGAAAGCCUGAUCCAGCAAUGCCGCGUGAGUGAUGAAGGCCUUAGGGUUGUAAAGCUCUUUUACCCGGGAUGAUAAUGACAGUACCGGGAGAAUAAGCACCGGCUAACUCCGUG
rnacentral:rRNA from 1 species